UACAGAGGGGGCAAGCGUUGUUCGGAAUUACUGGGUGUAAAGGUCGCGUAGGCGGCCUUCUAAGUCGAACGUGAAAUCCCCGGGCUCAACCCGGGAACUGCGUCCGAUACUGGAAGGCUUGAAUCCGGGAGAGGUGAGUGGAACUGCGAGUGUAGAGGUGAAAUUCGUAGAUAUUCGCAAGAACACCAGUGGCGAAGGCGGCUCACUGGCCCGGUACUGACGCUGAGGCACGAAAGCGUGGGGAGCAAACAGG
rnacentral:rRNA from 1 species